UUUGUACUCCCUCCGUCCCAAAAUUCUUGUCUUAAAUUUGUCUAAAUACGGAUGUAUCUAGUUACAUUUUAGUGUUAGAUACAUUCAUAUCUAAAUAAAUGUAAGAAAAGAAUUUUGGGACGGAGGGAAUACUAC
rfam:Triticum aestivum genome assembly, contig: Triticum_aestivum_CS42_TGACv1_scaffold_423815_5BS